GGGAAGUGGGUGGGGGAUCUCUCUUUUCAUUUACAUUUUCUUUGGUUUUUUUUUGGUUGUGUCUGCUUUAUUAUAUAAUUUAUUUUCCUUUUCCAUUGAUAAUUCCUUUUUUUUAGUGAUGUGGGACAUAAGAGGCAGAGGGAAAAGGAUUAGGUUUUAGCUUAAUCACGAAGAAUCAGAAGAAAAUACACAUGAUAAUCA
rnacentral:lncRNA from 1 species